UGGAUCCAGACUUUGAUUCUGGCUCAGGAUGAACGCUAGCUACAGGCUUAACACAUGCAAGUCGAGGGGCAGCAUGGGCGGGCUUUGGCCCGCCUGAUGGCGACCGGCGCACGGGUGCGUAACGCGUAUCGAACCUGCCCGUUACCCGGGGAUAGCCUUGCGAAAGCAAGAUUAAUACCCGAUGUUGUCGCGGCGCCGCAUGGCGCUGCGGCCAAAGAUUUUAUCGGUAACGGAUGGCGGUGCGUCCGAUUAGGUUGAUGGCGGGGUAACGGCCCACCAUGCCUUCGAUCGGUAGGGGUUCUGAGAGGAAGGCCCCCCACAUUGGAACUGAGACACGGUCCAAACUCCUACGGGAGGCAGCAGUGAGGAAUAUUGGUCAAUGGGCGCGAGCCUGAACCAGCCAAGUAGCGUGCAGGAUGACGGCCCUCCGGGUUGUAAACUGCUUUUAGUUGGGAAUAAAAAGGGUGACUAGUCACCCAUUGCAUGUACCAUCAGAAAAAGGACCGGCUAAUUCCGUGCCAGCAGCCGCGGUAAUACGGAAGGUCCGGGCGUUAUCCGGAUUUAUUGGGUUUAAAGGGAGCGUAGGCGGACUGUCAAGUCAGCGGUAAAAUCGUGCGGCUCAACCGUACCUCGCCGUUGAAACUGGUGGUCUUGAGUGCACACAGGGAUGCUGGAAUUCGUCGUGUAGCGGUGAAAUGCUUAGAUAUGACGAGGAACUCCGAUCGCGAAGGCAGGUGUCCGGGGUGCCACUGACGCUGAGGCUCGAAGGUGCGGGUAUCAAACAGGAUUAGAUACCCUGGUAGUCCGCACGGUAAACGAUGAAUGCUCGCAGUAUGCGGUAUACGGUAUGCUGCCAAGGGAAACCGUUAAGCAUUCCACCUGGGGAGUACGCCGGCAACGGUGCAACUCAAAGGAAUUGACGGA
rnacentral:rRNA from 1 species